AAAUGAGAUGGAGGGUAAACUCGAACAAAACGUAAAGGUUGCUACACCUGAAACAGAAAAGCUAAAUGAGAUGGAGGGUAAACUCGAACAAAACGUAAAGGUUGCUACACCU